rnacentral:rRNA from 1 species
GGUUAAGUUAGAAAGGGCGCACGGUGAAUGCCUUGGCACUAGGAGCCGAUGAAGGACGGACUAACACCGAUAUGCUUCGGGAGCUGUAAGUGAGCUUUGAUCCGGAGAUUUCCGAAUGGGGAAACCCACUGUUCGUAAUGGAACAGUAUCUUUAUCUGAAUACAUAGGAUAUUGAAGGCAGACCCGGGGAACUGAAACAUCUAAGUACCCGGAGGAAGAGAAAGCAAAUGCGAUUUCCUGAGUAGCGGCGAGCGAAACGGAAUUAGCCCAAACCAAGAGGCUUGCCUCUUGGGGUUGUAGGACACUCUAUACGGAGUUACAAAGGAACGAAGUAAAUGAAGCGACCUGGAAAGGUCCGUCGAAGAAGGUAACAACCCUGUAGUUGAAACUUCGUUCCCUCUUGAGUGGAUCCUGAGUACGGCGGAACACGUGAAAUUCCGUCGGAAGCUGGGAGGACCAUCUCCCAAGGCUAAAUACUACCUAGUGACCGAUAGUGAACCAGUACCGUGAGGGAAAGGUGAAAAGCACCCCGGAAGGGGAGUGAAAGAGAUCCUGAAACCGUGUGCCUACAAGUAGUCAGAGCCCGUUAACGGGUGAUGGCGUGCCUUUUGUAGAAUGAACCGGCGAGUUACGAUCCCAUGCAAGGUUAAGCUGAUAAGGCGGAGCCGUAGCGAAAGCGAGUCUGAAUAGGGCGUUUAGUAUGUGGUUGUAGACCCGAAACCAGGUGAUCUACCCAUGUCCAGGGUGAAGUUCAGGUAACACUGAAUGGAGGCCCGAACCCACGCACGUUGAAAAGUGCGGGGAUGAGGUGUGGUAGCGGAGAAAUUCCAAUCGAACCUGGAGAUAGCUGGUUCUCUCCGAAAUAGCUUUAGGGCUAGCCUCAUGUUGUGAGAGUCUUGGAGGUAGAGCACUGAUUGGACUAGGGGCCCCAACGGGUUACCGAAUUCAGUCAAACUCCGAAUGCCAAAGACUUAUCCAUGGGAGUCAGACUGCGAGUGAUAAGAUCCGUAGUCAAAGGAAACAGCCCAGACCACCAGCUAAGGUCCCCAAGUAUACGUUAAGUGGAAAAGGAUGUGGAGUUGCUUAGACAACCAGGAUGUUGGCUUAGAAGCAGCCACCAUUUAAAGAGUGCGUAAUAGCUCACUGGUCGAGUGACUCUGCGCCGAAAAUGUACCGGGGCUAAACGUAUCACCGAAGCUGUGGAUUGACAUCUUAGAUGUCAGUGGUAGGAGAGCGUUCUAAGUGCAGCGAAGUCAGACCGUAAGGACUGGUGGAGCGCUUAGAAGUGAGAAUGCCGGUAUGAGUAGCGAAAGACAAGUGAGAAUCUUGUCCACCGAAUGCCUAAGGUUUCCUGAGGAAGGCUCGUCCGCUCAGGGUUAGUCGGGACCUAAGCCGAGGCUGAAAAGCGUAGGCGAUGGCCAACAGGUUGAUAUUCCUGUACCACCUCCCCGCCGUUUGAGUAAUGGGGGGACGCAGUAGGAUAGGGUAAGCGCGCUGCUGGAUAUGCGCGUUCAAGCAGUUAGGCUGAUGAGUAGGCAAAUCCGCUCAUCAUAAAGGCUGAGCUGUGAUGACGAGGGAAUUAUAGUACCGAAGUUCCUGAUUCCACACUGCCAAGAAAAGCCUCUAGCGAGGCGGGAGGUGCCCGUACCGCAAACCGACACAGGUAGGCGAGGAGAGAAUCCUAAGGUGAUCGAGAGAACUCUCGUUAAGGAACUCGGCAAAAUGACCCCGUAACUUCGGGAGAAGGGGUGCUCUGGUAGGGUGUAUAGCCCGAGAGAGCCGCAGUGAAUAGGCCCAGGCGACUGUUUAGCAAAAACACAGGUCUCUGCGAAGCCGCAAGGCGAAGUAUAGGGGCUGACGCCUGCCCGGUGCUGGAAGGUUAAGAGGAGGGGUUAUCCUUUGGGAGAAGCUCUGAAUCGAAGCCCCAGUAAACGGCGGCCGUAACUAUAACGGUCCUAAGGUAGCGAAAUUCCUUGUCGGGUAAGUUCCGACCCGCACGAAAGGCGUAACGAUCUGGGCACUGUCUCAACGAGAGACUCGGUGAAAUUAUAGUACCUGUGAAGAUGCAGGUUACCCGCGACAGGACGGAAAGACCCCGUGGAGCUUUACUGUAGCCUGAUAUUGAAUUUUGGUACAGCUUGUACAGGAUAGGUAGGAGCCUGAGAAGCCGGAGCGCUAGCUUCGGUGGAGGCGUCGGUGGGAUACUACCCUGGCUGUAUUGAAAUUCUAACCCGCGGCCCUGAUCGGGCCGGGAGACAGUGUCAGGUGGGCAGUUUGACUGGGGCGGUCGCCUCCUAAAAUGUAACGGAGGCGCCCAAAGGUUCCCUCAGAAUGGUUGGAAAUCAUUCGUAGAGUGUAAAGGCACAAGGGAGCUUGACUGCGAGACCUACAAGUCGAGCAGGGACGAAAGUCGGGCUUAGUGAUCCGGUGGUUCCGCAUGGAAGGGCCAUCGCUCAACGGAUAAAAGCUACCCCGGGGAUAACAGGCUUAUCUCCCCCAAGAGUCCACAUCGACGGGGAGGUUUGGCACCUCGAUGUCGGCUCAUCGCAUCCUGGGGCUGUAGUCGGUCCCAAGGGUUGGGCUGUUCGCCCAUUAAAGCGGUACGCGAGCUGGGUUCAGAACGUCGUGAGACAGUUCGGUCCCUAUCCGUCGUGGGCGUAGGAAAUUUGAGAGGAGCUGUCCUUAGUACGAGAGGACCGGGAUGGACACACCGCUGGUGUACCAGUUGUCUUGCCAAAGGCAUCGCUGGGUAGCUAUGUGUGGACGGGAUAAGUGCUGAAAGCAUCUAAGCAUGAAGCCCCCCUCAAGAUGAGAUUUCCCAUAGCGCAAGCUAGUAAGAUCCCUGAAAGAUGAUCAGGUUGAUAGGUCAGAGGUGGAAGCGUGGCGACAUGUGUAGCUGACUGAUACUAAUCGAUCGAGGACUUAACCAA